rnacentral:rRNA from 1 species
UACGGGGGGGGCAAGCGUUGUUCGGAAUUACUGGGCGUAAAGGGCGCGUAGGCGGCUUUUUAAGUCGGGUGUGAAAACUCUGGGCUCAACCCAGAGACUGCACUCGAAACUGAAGAGCUAGAGUUCUGGAGGGGAAAGCGGAAUUCCUGGUGUAGCGGUGAAAUGCGUAGAUAUCAGGAGGAACACCGGUGGCGAAGGCGGCUUUCUGGACAGAAACUGACGCUGAUGCGCGAAAGCUAGGGGAGCAAACAGG